CGGGACGGUAGUAACGCGUGGGUAACCUGCCCUAUACACAUGGAUAACAUACUGAAAAGUUUACUAAUACAUGAUAAUAUAUAUUUACGGCAUCGUAGAUAUAUCAAAGUGUUAGCGGUAUAGGAUGGACCCGCGUCUGAUUAGCUAGUUGGUGAGAUAACUGCCCACCAAGGCGACGAUCAGUAGCCGACCUGAGAGGGUGAUCGGCCACAUUGGAACUGAGACACGGUCCAAACUCCUACGGGAGGCAGCAGUU
rnacentral:rRNA from 1 species